rnacentral:rRNA from 1 species
GACAGAGGUGCCGAGCGUUAGGCGGAAUCACUGGGCUUAAAGCGUGUGUAGGCGGACCGUUAAGUACCUUGUGAAAUCCCACGGCUCAACCGUGGAACCGCUGGGUAUACUGGUUGUCUUGAGCCGGCUAGGGGCGAGCGGAACAGACGGUGGAGCGGUGAAAUGCGUAGAUAUCGUCUGGAACGCCGAAGGUGAAAACAGCUCGCUGGGGCCGCGCUGACGCUGAGACACGAAAGCCAGGGGAGCGAACGGG